GUGACUGUCAGGGCCUGCAAGUUGCCUUUUACUGUAGAACCUCUUGGAACUUGUAAAGCCGGGCAGUCUAUUCAGAAAUGAAUGGCCUUUUCCACAAGAUCAAUGUAAUCUACAUAACAAUGCAUUGCCUUCCUCCAGGAACUUGAAUGACCAUGGAACUCCAAAACUUCAGUCUCUCCUCUUACUAAACUUCACUUUGUACUGUAUACGUGCAGGUGUGCCUUACUGGUGAUGUCUCUUCUACCUGGAGGAUCUCUAAGCCAUUGCAGAGGCUCAGUUCCUGGUGUUCCUUCCAAAUGGCUACAUGGCUGAAUUGACUGAUGAUGAGGAGAUUGACAGUUUGUGCUGAGUCCCAGGUGGGAGUAUCGUGAAAUUAGUCCAGCAGGAGCUGAGCAGAGCUUAACUCAUUCAUACAUUGCAGAAGAGAGAGAGGUCCACAGGUAGGGAAAGGUCCCAGUCCCCCCCAUUCCCAAAUCAUCAACCUAGUUGCUGAUGAGGAAAAAUCUUCCAUUAGAGCAUUAUUCC
rnacentral:lncRNA from 1 species